rnacentral:rRNA from 1 species
UACAGAGGGUGCGAGCGUUGUCCGGAAUCACUGGGCGUAAAGGGCGCGUAGGCGGCUUGAUAAGCGUGCGGUGAAAGCCCGGGGCUCAACCCCGGGUCGGCCGUGCGAACUGUCGAGCUGGAGCACUGUAGAGGCAGGUGGAAUUCCGGGUGUAGCGGUGGAAUGCGCAGAUAUCAGGAGGAACACCGGUGGCGAAGGCGGGUCUCUGGGCAGUAACUGACGCUGAGGAGCGAAAGCGUGGGGAGCGAACAGG